UACGGAGGGGGUUAGCGUUGUUCGGAAUUACUGGGCGUAAAGCGCGCGUAGGCGGAUCAGAAAGUUGGGGGUGAAAUCCCGGGGCUCAACCCCGGAACGGCCUCCAAAACUCCUGGUCUUGAGUUCGAGAGAGGUGAGUGGAAUUCCGAGUGUAGAGGUGAAAUUCGUAGAUAUUCGGAGGAACACCAGUGGCGAAGGCGGCUCACUGGCUCGAUACUGACGCUGAGGCGCGAAAGCGUAGGUAGCGAACAGG
rnacentral:misc_RNA from 1 species